UACGGGGGGGGCAAGCGUUGUUCGGAAUCACUGGGCGUAAAGGGCGCGUAGGCGGCCUGCUAAGUCACACGUGAAAUCCCCCGGCUCAACCGGGGAACUGCGUGUGAUACUGGCGGGCUUGAAUUCGGGAGAGGGAUGUGGAAUUCCAGGUGUAGCGGUGAAAUGCGUAGAUAUCUGGAGGAACACCGGUGGCGAAGGCGGCAUCCUGGACCGAGAUUGACGCUGAGGCGCGAAAGCUAGGGUAGCAAACGGG
rnacentral:rRNA from 1 species